GGCUUCGUGAUCAAGUGGUAGAAACAAUUGCCUCUUACGCUGGGGACCUGGGUUCGAUCCCCGGUGGAGGAGCUA